UACAAAUGACUGGGCUGGAGAGAUGGCUCAGCGGCUAAGAGCACUGUCUGCUCUUCCAGAGAUCCUGAGUUCAAUUCCCAGCAACCACAUGGUGGCUCAUAACCAUCUGUAAUGGAAUCUGAUGCCCUCUUCUGGUGUGUCUGAAGAUAGCUACAGUGUACUCAUAUACAUAAAUAAAUAAAUCUUAAAAAAAUAAAAAGAUACAAAUGAUAACCGAGAGAAUAAGAAUUAGUCUUUCACAGGGAUGAGCCCAGUAGGUGGUAUUCAAUACCAAAAGGUUAGCCCUAAGAUAAUAUACACACAAAUAACACUAAGGUAAUUUAGCAAGUUCUAUUUAUAUAUAUUUGUAUGUGUGUGUGUGUGUGUGUGUGUGUGUGUGUGUGUGUGUGUGUGUGUAUAACAAUAACAAUCAAAAAAAAAGGAAGUCAUCAAUUUGAAAUGGAGUAAGCAGGGACAUGGGAAGUAUUAAAGGAAGAGAAGGGAGGGAGAAAUGUGUUUCUAUUUUAAAUAAAAAUUUUUAAAAAAUAAAAUAAUCACGUCCUUCAAAAUGGCAUACCAUUAACACCCAAAACCACAAAUACAAAUAAAUUCCUUUAGAACUGAUGACUCAUAUUUAUGCCCAAAGGGGGGUACUUGUUCUUUAAAUGUAUGUAUCUUACUGCUCCGUAAUGAAUAAACAGGUCCUAUCUUUUACACCUUUAUCUUCUUCCCUGCCAAUCAAGGUACAUUAAACUCUGUGCCUUAGAUAUAAUGGGUAUAAAUAAAGAAAAUGAUCCAGACCAAGGAGUCAUCUGGUAAUAGCUUAAGGGGUAGCAUACCGAAAUCACAUUUGUAUUUUAAUGAGGAAUUCUUCUGGAAAGGUAAAAAGCCACUAAUGCUAAAAAGAAUGAUGGACAUUUUUAGCAUUUCAAUAACGAGAUGCUAGAAAUUCAUCUUUUACUGGCAAAGUAUUUUAGCAUAGAUCAGAAUGUAUAACACAAUCUUGAUAAAAAAAUAAAUCUGAAAUAAGAACUAAAAUGUCAACUGAGAACUAGUUUUCUCUUUCUUUUUAACCACCAUUUUCUAGUUUUAUUUUUCCACACAAUGAUUCCAUUUCUCUAACCUUACUCUUCUAGCUACACACAGGCAUUAGCUGCCUCCUCCUCACAGAUCAGACCAUGAAUGCAGGAAGCGCCAAGACUGCAAUCCCAAGCAGCGCUUACCUCGCCACUGCUUCUCGCAGUGCCAGACUUUCCGUUAACUACCAUUCUUCAUGUCCUGUUCACUGCACUUCAAGUUGACACAUUUGACAUAAAAAACUCUGGCAUUAUGUCCCCUCCAUGUACAACUCAAAUGGAAGAGAAGAAAACACCGACUCCCUGGAUCCUUCACUCCUACGAUUAUUUUCACGAAAGAGAUACCUGGUGCCCUUCUCUGUAAAUCUAAACUUGGUUCUAAAGGAUAAAAACUUUAUGAAAAGCAGGAGGGAAUGGGAAAGUGAAGUAGACUGAGGGAUUACUACUAACAUGGGAUACAUGUCAGGAUGACCAUUUCAAAAUGUAACUAAACUAUCCCACACAGAAUAAUAAUAAAAAAAGAGUACAAUGUUUAUUGCCUGACCUUUAGUAAAAAGUUUUUCUUGUACUGUAUUGCAUUUUUAAAUGUAGAGUCCAUUCUCUAUAUAAUAUGGUAAUGAGUAGCAGAGAAAUCAGAGGGAAGGGAAUGCUGUUUUUUAUGUGCUUUUUAAAAAUAUUCUUAAAAAGAAAUAUUUACUGAUUGGCUUACUUUGUACUGUUGUAAAUUUUCAAACAAAGAACAUUUCAGGAGUAAUUUUAAAAUAUUAGAAUUUUUAUAUCAGAAGCCCAUCUUAGAUAAAUACAUCUUAUAUAAAAGUUUUGAAUACAUUUCAAAAACCUUUAAUUGUAGAUAGCAUUUAACCUAGAGUUCAAUACAGAAUGAAUGCUCAACAAUUAUGGGUUGAGUAAAAAAGCAAACACACAAUUGAGGUAUUUACUAUGUCAAUCAAAAUUUUAGUGUCCUUCUAAUUCCUUACUUUCUGAGGAAGCAGAGAAAGCCCUCAGUGAGUGAAGCCCAGGACAUGUCUGCUCUGACAUAGCACCUGCCACAGGGAAGUGGCACAUCUGUUACACUCACGGGCUAGGAUUAGUAACUUCAGCUUCCUCUUCCUGGAUAGUUACAGCCUGAGACUGACCACUCUGCUAAAGGGAUCAGCCAGGACCAGCCUCCUGCUGCCUAGUUCUGUACCCAGGGUUCCAAGUUAUGAAGGGAGCAGGCGCAGAACCCUAAUGAUCCCAUAUUCACUGUACAUAUUUGUGUGUCUGUCCUUCCUUUAGUCCCCUACUGCUCCUAGUGGGGUUCUAACACAUGCUAAGUUAUCGCUGAGCUACAGAUCUCCACCCCAGGGCACCUUUUGAUGUUUUAAACUGGAAUGACCGUUAGUACAUUGCCAGUUCAGCUCAGGGUGCACAUGAGUCCUGCAUCGAUUACUUUUUAGUCUCUGUAAGUCACUCCUGAGAAAAUUACUUAUGAGUUCUCCUAAAACAAGAAGUAUCUCAGUAGAAAUUUGGCUUGGUUCCUUCUUUUUGAUUGAUUCAAUAUUUUUAUCAGGCUAAAAGGAAAAACUGCAAAACUGACAAUGCAGUCCAGAGGGACGAGCAGCAGAGGUCAGAUCAGCAGGUGCUAUGGAGGAAGCACUUAGAACUGGUUUGAGAGCAGCAACACUAAUAUAGCAGCACACGUGGGACCUGUGUCCCAGCCCUCCAGCCGCUGCUCAAGUCUCCCCCAGGUGUACUCCUAGUGAAUUCUAACAUGUGAUACAGACGUUAGGGAAUAGCGACGGCGCGGUUUCAUACUCACUGGUAAGUGUUCAAGUAACGAAGUUACCGUCUCAGAUACAUAUACUACACUUCCAUCUGUCAUGAUCGCUAAAAAAAAACCAUCAAGAGCCUGAAAUUAAACAUAACGGUCAGUUAAGGGACAAGAAAAAAGCACCUUCCCAGAUAGACACAACAGAAAUGACCAAGGACUCACUGGUCAAAUGGCAGACGUUUUGCUUUCAGUAUAUUAUUUUUUGUGAUUCUUUAGAUGUGUCUGAGGGAAAAAUAUCACUCUGGCUAUCGACUGGAAGCUCUAGUUUCUAAGGUUCACGUUCUGCCUUUACAGCUGCAUAUGUAUACUGUAUGACAUGCUCUGCAGUACGGCACAGCACAGCACAGCGAGCAUCUGAGAUGCUCACAUCUCAUAGAGUACACACCGAGAAAGAACUGUAAGCCUGACGGAUAGGAACAGAAUGAAAGGAACAGAGCGAACAGACAGAGAUUGAGGCCCCCAACACUAAGCUGAGGCCGAAUCUUAUAAAGCCUAAUUUCUUGGUAAAGGUAUCUUUAUUCCAUACAUAAAAGCAAGCGGUGUGGAGCAGAGCUGGACAAGGAAGAGAGACAGGACGGAGACCAGACAGCACAAAGGACAAGAAAAUGAGCAAAUCCUGUGAUUUUUUUCAAAGAGUAAUGUCAACAGGAAGGCAAGUCACUUGCAGUGAACUUAAAACAAAUGGAUAAGAAGAGGCUAUUACAACUCGUUUAUAAGCCUGACAGUGAACUAAGGGAGGAAGAACAAUUAAAGGACUCGUGUACUAAAGAUCAUAUUGAAAACCAUAAAACCAGAGAUGUUUACCCUUGUAGGUUAAAGGAGAGAAAGAUCCAGAACAGAAGUGAAAAGUAAUGUACUUAGCUAUGCAGAACUCCUAGAGGCUCACUGCCUUUGGUAAGAACUGCGCAUGUCUCUGUCAUCCUUGUGAAGGCAGGAUACAGAAAGGAUGGGAAUGGGAGUCAAGGCAACCACUCCAAGCUGCAUUUUAUUUUUGUUGUUGUGGGGUGGGUAUGUGCGCGCGUGCAUGUGUACCAGGGUGUCUUGAAACAGCUUCCAUACACCGGACGGGCCUUGAACUCUGGUGACCCACUGUGUCCAGCUCCAAUUUACUACUAUUACAGCUGUCUGUAGUGACAGCAAAUGAAUGCAGGGACUCAAGAGUCCUGAGUAAGUGCUCCGUCACAAAGCUAUAUGCCCAGUGUGUAACUGCUGAGUGUAGAAUAAAGGUAGUCUUCUUUACCUCUUCCCUACACUACUAGGAGAAAGAUGGGUCCCAGAGAAAACUUAUUUUGAAUAAUUGUUUACUUUGCAGAACAACUGAAACAAAUCUAUUUUUAGAUAAUCAGGGGUUUGAAAUCUAUAACUGAAGCCAAGUCCUCCAGUGUUACCCUAUUACAGUUUAAUCAGUAACUGUUGUCAAGAGUCAAAUUGAUGCAAAGAAAGAAACUGCUUUCUCAUGCGAAAGACCGUCAACUUUGGAAGCAAAUGAUCUGUCACUGUGAUGAUGGGACUUGCUGUUAAGACACUGCUAGGAUCCACAGGUCAUCUAUCUCUCUCUCUAAGACAAUGAACUGAAAAGAAAACUCUAGUAACUUAGCCCACUUCUAUAGGUAAAGUCUGCUCUUUUCCCUUGCAGAUUAAAGUUUCAACAGCUUGCCAAAUCAGGAAAUCUUUUGAGAGAAAAACACAAUGAAAGGCCGUGCAGCGGAUCGGGAAGGCACCAGAGCGACAGGCAAGCCCUGUGCCUCAGAAGGAACUGGAUUUAGAGUGGUCAAUGUGCCUGCAGUCGCUAUCAAGUGCUCCAGAGGAACAACAGAGGUAAACACUAGAGUUCUGCUCUUUCUGAGUAACUAAUGCAAAGGGUAGAUGCGCUUACUCUGUAAGAGACAAUCCAGAAGAAUGGUCCUAAAGUCUCUGCUGCCACCACUGUAUACAGCUUAAAGCAGCCACACAGUCCACACAAACCGAGAGCGGUUGGUUACAUCUCAGUAAAGUCGUCAACGCUGAAAUCCCAAUUUCAUCUUUUAUGUAUCACAUCUAGAAUUCUUAAAGAGUUUUGCUUUUAAGUAAACAUUACUCUUAGCUUAUGUGUCUCAGAAAUGUGCAUUUAGCAUGCUAAACUUGGCAGUGUGCAGACCUCUGACGUGAACUGAAGCUGCACCAGGUAACUGGUUCUUAUUUCACACUGGAAAAACAGAAAGUGUACAAAUGAUACAGCCAUUUACAUGUAAACUGUUAAAACCUUAAGGCCUGGUAACUGUUCUGCUGUAAGUCUAAAACCUGACAAAUAAUUCUUAUUCUACCACACAGCCAUUUGCAAAUAAACCCCUCUGCCACAGGAAACAGAAAGUUAUAGUUCUUACUUUUGAGAGGGAAUUGGGACAGUUUCAGAAAUUGAUAAAAAGAAAAAAAUUGAACUUCAUUUAUUUUUUACUCUGCUAUAAGGUUGAUAUAAAUGGUUCCUAAGGCUCAUGUAUCAGAGGUUUGGUCCCAGUGAGUGGUGUAAGUGACAGGUACUGACUGCAUCAUGAGGAUGCUAACUUUAUCAAUGGAUUAAUCCACAGCUAAAUGGGCUAUUAGGAGAUGGGACCUGCUUGGAAGAGACAGGUUAGUGGGAAUAUGCCUCUGAAAAUAGGUCUUCUCCCCAGAGUUUUCCUAUCUUACAUCACAUAAGCCACCUUCUCAACACAGUCCUGCUGCCAUGAUGGUCUGCCUCCCCACAGACCUAUAGAAACAAAACAAACUGUAAAACAUGAAUUAAAACAUGUAAAAACUCUGAGCCAAAUAAAACUUUCCUCCUUUAAAAAUUGUUGUCUGUUAUAGCAAUUGGAAACUAAUACACAUUCCUUAUAUAUAAAAAAGAAAAUUUUAAAGAUUUUAAUUCAAAUCUACAAAGAAAAGUAGCAGACCAUGCCCUAAAUAUGUUUAUAACCCCUUGGUCUAAGUUCAUGAGGACAUUGAAAUCCCACCAUAUUACAAGUGAGGGAAAAAAAGCAUGCCUCUGAGCUCCGAGAAGACUAAAGACACAGAGUGAAGUCCAUCGAGCUCUUAAGAGGGAGCACAGUGACUGCAGAGGUUCCCAGGGGCGUGGAUCUUGUCAUUGGACAGAUCAGCUUCUAGGUUUUACCCCAAAUGAAAAGUACAUGAACAAGAGCAGUUGCUAACCAGAUCCAAGUAUAACACCGAUUCCAUUACUACUAUUUAAAAAGAAUGAACAUUGCAGGGUGCUCCUGUUUGCCAGCAAUUGAGAAUGUAGCAAUGAAUGUGCCAGAUACAGAUCACAUCAGUAUCUGGCUUUCAGUAUAGGGUGACUUCAAAUGCAUUAAAAAGCCAAAGGCCUAUCCCAGUGUAGAGAGAAACCAGGAGAGCAAUACAAAGGCAGCAACACCAAGUAUCCUACAGAAUGGGCAUUAAUGUACACAUGGACAGGUUCUAAAGCCUGAUAAAGAAAGGAACUAUGUUAAAGACAGAAAAUAUGGUUUUGUCCAGAGACGAACAGUAUAUUCAAAAGCCAAUCAUCAGAGAGAACAUGGCAUCUGUAUAUUUAUAUAAGAUUAAAGAAGUCUAAGGUAGUUUUGGGUGUGUGUGUGUGUGUGUGUGUGUGUGUGUGUGUGUGUGUGUGUGUGUAUGUGUGUAGGGGGGUGAGGUAGGCAAGAAAAGAAAGUGAAAAGUGAAAUUAAGGAAAUAAAAGAGAAUGUGAAGCAAAUUGCCCUCAGUUACACAGGGUUAAAAGUCUAACUCGUCUGGCUCUCAACCCUUGACUACAGGAUAUUAGCUGUGUACUGGGAGAGAGGCUCUGAGCAAAGUCCCUAGAGAGGAAUUUUGGGGAGAGUCAGCACUGCCCUGGAUGAAUAGCCAGCCUUGCAGCAAGUGGGUAAACUGAUCAACUGAGCCCCAGGGGCUCAUCAUGCAGAAAAACAGGAGAGGGGAACUCAACAUUUUCAACUUCUAAUUUGUA